rnacentral:lncRNA from 1 species
CACAAAGACAGCCACCAAACCCCUUCAACCCGAACUCCACCCCACAAAUUUCCAGACCCCAUCAAGUCCAGCUAUGAUCUUUUACAAAUCAAAAACUCAAAUUUCCAAAAUGCACCUACUAUGAGAUCGUACGGCCUUUGCCAUUAUCGAACAAUGGUUCCUACCACUUUGAGAUCAUACAACAUGGAUCUAGUCUGAAUACAUCAAGAACCCCAAGAAGACCCACGAUUUCAAGAUCUUGUCGGCUAGUCAUGGUGGUUUUCUCUCUUUCUUCUAUUUCCUCUCUUCUUUUUCUGUAAAUUCUCUAAGUUCUCUAUUGUUAUCAAUGGUGGCGAGGCAAUGGUAUUGAGUUUGGUUUGACUGGGAAUGUCGAGGUGGGGGGCUUGGUGCGGCUUAGGUAUUUGGCCUUGAGGUGUGGCUCGGGGAAGAGAGAGAGAGGUAUGGUGGUG